GUCAAGAGCCCAUCAUUUUCCUGCUCUCAGCUCUGUUCACUUCUAGAGUUGCCAUUGACUGUGCCAAGACGAUUAACCAUUCCAUUAGUUGAGGAAGAAACUUGGUCAAAACCAUACGCUGUAGGCAGUGCUACUUUAGCUCCUUUUCUUCUUGCAGCUUUAUGGAAUACUCAGGAUUAUGUGAGUUACCUAGGCAGAAGUGUUGCUAUAGUUCUUGGCAUUUCUGUUGGUUGCACACUGGG
rnacentral:misc_RNA from 1 species